rnacentral:rRNA from 1 species
GACAGAGGUCCCGAGCGUUAGGCGGAAUCACUGGGCUUAAAGCGUGUGUAGGCGGACUUCUAAGUACCUUGUGAAAUCCCACGGCUCAACCGUGGAACUGCUUGGUAUACUGGUUGUCUUGGGCCAUCUAGGGGCGAGCGGAACAAACGGUGGAGCGGUGAAAUGCGUAGAUAUCGUUUGGAACGCCAAUGGUGAAAACAGCUCGCUGGGGAUGUGCCGACGCUGAGACACGAAAGCCAGGGGAGCGAACGGG